rnacentral:rRNA from 1 species
GCGCCUACCAUGCAGUCGAGCGGAUGACGGGAGCUUGCUCCUUGAUUCAGCGGCGGACGGGUGAGUAAUGCCUAGGAAUCUGCCUGGUAGUGGCGGACAACGUUGCGAAAGGAACGCUAAUACCGCAUACGUCCUACGGGAGAAAGCAGGGGACCUUCGGGCCUUGCGCUAUCAGAUGAGCCUAGGUCGGAUUAGCUAGUUGGUGGGGUAAUGGCUCACCAAGGCGACGAUCCGUAACUGGUCUGAGAGGAUGAUCAGUCACACUGGAACUGAGACACGGUCCAGACUCCUACGGGAGGCAGCAGUGGGGAAUAUUGGACAAUGGGCGAAAGCCUGAUCCAGCCAUGCCGCGUGUGUGAAGAAGGUCUUCGGAUUGUACAGCACUUUAAGUUGGGAGGAAGGGCAGUAAGUUAAUACCUUGCUGUCGUGACGUUACCGACAGAAUAAGCACCGGCUAACUCUGUGCCAGCAGCCGCGGUAAUACAGAGGGUGCAAGCGUUAAUCGGAAUUACUGGGCGUAAAGCGCGCGUAGGUGGUUUGUUAAGUUGGAUGUGAAAGCCCCGGGCUCAACCUGGGAACUGCAUCCAAAACUGGCAAGCUAGAGUACGGUAGAGGGUGGUGGAAUUUCCUGUGUAGCGGUGAAAUGCGUAGAUAUAGGAAGGAACACCAGUGGCGAAGGCGACCACCUGGACUGAUA